rnacentral:lncRNA from 1 species
UAGCCGAAUUUUUGAUCCCGAAUUUUUAAUUGAAGAACGUAUAAUAUCCGAAUAAAUCACGUAUCCGAAUAAUUACUGAAUCCGUUUUUUAGCCGUAUUUUUCAACGAAUUUAAAAAUUAGAAAACGAAUUUUAUCCGAAUUAUAUCCGUACCGAAUUUUUGCCGAAUCCGAAUUAACUAACUAUGGACCUACCUACCAUAUAUAUGUUUUAAGGCUUCUCUAUGAAUUAUUCUUACUCUCUCUCUCUCUCUCUCUCUCUCUCUCUCUCUCUCUCUAUAUAUAUAUAUAC